AUGGCUCAUUAUUAAGUUAUCGUUUAUUUGAUAGCACAUUACUACUUGGAUAACCGUGGUAAUUCUAGAGCUAAUACAUGCUAAAAAUCCCGACUUCGGAAGGGAUGUAUUUAUUAGAUUAAAAGCCAACGCCCUUCGGGGCUCUGUGGUGAUUCAUAAUAACUGGUCGAAUCGCAUGGCCUUGCGCCGGCGAUGGUUCAUUCAAAUUUCUUCCCUAUCAACUUUCGAUGCGAGGGUCUUGUCCUCGCAUGGUUGCAACGGGUAACGGAGGGUUAGGGCUCGACCCCGGAGAAGGAGCCUGAGAAACGGCUACUACAUCCAAGGAAGGCAGCAGGCGCGCAAAUUACCCAAUCCCGACACGGGGAGGUAGUGACAAUAAAUACUGAUACAGGGCUCUUUUGGGUCUUGUAAUCGGAAUGAGUACAAUUUAAAUCCCUUAACGAGGAACAAUUGGAGGGCAAGUCUGGUGCCAGCAGCCGCGGUAAUUCCAGCUCCAAUAGCGUAUAUUAAAGUUGUUGUGGUUAAAAAGCUCGUAGUCGAACCUUGGGCCUGGCUGGCCGGUCCCCCUCACCGGGUGCACUGAUCCAGCCGGGCCUUUCCCUCUGUGGAACCCCAUGGCCUUCACUGGCUGUGCGGGGGAAACAGGACUUUUACUGUGAAAAAAUUAGAGUGCUCCAGGCAGGCCUAUGCUCGAAUACAUUAGCAUGGAAUAAUAGAAUAGGACGUGUGGUUCUAUUUUGUUGGUUUCUAGGACCGCCGUAAUGAUUAAUAGGGACAGUCGGGGGCAUCAGUAUUCAGUUGUCAGAGGUGAAAUUCUUGGAUCUACUGAAGACUAACUACUGCGAAAGCAUUUGCCAAGGAUGUUUUCAUUGAUAAGGAACGAAAGUUAGGGGAUCGAAGACGAUCAGAUACCGUCGUAGUCUUAACUAUAAACUAUGCCGACUAGGGAUCGGACGAUGUUAUUAUUUGACGCGUUCGGCACCUUUCGAGAAAUCAAAGUGCUUGGGC
rnacentral:rRNA from 1 species